rnacentral:rRNA from 1 species
UACGGAGGGUGCGAGCGUUGUCCGGAAUCAUUGGGCGUAAAGCGCGUGUAGGCGGCCAUCCAAGUCCGAUGUGAAAGCUCGGGGCUCAACCCCGAGUCUGCAUUGGAAACUGUAUGGCUUGAGUCCGGAAGAGGAGACUGGAAUUCCUGGUGUAGCGGUGAAAUGCGCAGAUAUCAGGAAGAACACCGGUGGCGAAGGCGGGUCUCUGGGACGGUACUGACGCUGAGACGCGAAAGCGUGGGGAGCAAACAGG